CUCAGUAUAUAUGGGAGUUGAUCAAAAUUGGAUUUGUUUUCUAAUUCUUUGUGUAUCUGUGUAAUCACACACAUAGCAUUAUGCAAUGUUAAAGCUUCCUGAGUAGAUAGACAGAUCAGCAGAGGUACCCCCCCAUCACCCACACCCCAGUAUGCCAUCUCCUCCAGCUAUCUCUAUAAUGGUAAGAGUCCUUUCCUCUCCACCCUGCCGUCUCUAGCUAUCUCUAUAAUGGUAAGAGUCCUUUCCUCUCCACCCGGCCGUCUCUAGCUAUCUCUAUAAUGGUAAGAGUCCUUUCCUCUCCACCCGGCCGUCUCCUCCAGCUAUCUCUAUAAUGGUAAGGUCCUUUCCUCUCCACCCGGCCGUCUCCUCCAGCUAUCUCUAUAAUGGUAAGAGUCCUUUCCUCUCCACCCGGCCGUCUCUAGCUAUCUCUAUAAUGGUAAGAGUCCUUUCCUCUCCACCCGGCCGUCUCCAGCUAUCUCUAUAAUAGCUCUGCUUUGUCUUUUUAAAAUGGCAGCUGGAACCCACAGGCUUCCCAACAUUCCAAAGCUCCAAACUGAUUGGCUCUUCAUUAAAAUAUUUGACUAUAUUCAAAUCACAGUUUGGGAACAAUCACUGUGGUGGAUUAACUUUGUGUUUCAAUGGUGAGACAGAGGAGAUGUCAUCAUAUGUUCAUGUCCAAAUUACAUAAUUUGAGAAUAAGAUGCAAAGUUGAUCUGAAGACAAAGUUAGAGUCCUUUCCAUUUUGAACAAUCACUACAUUCCCUGCGUAGGUAGCAGACCUGUGCUGAACACAUUCCCUGGGUAGGUAGCAGACCGGUGCUGAACACAUUCCCUGCUUAGGUAGCAGACCGGUGCUGAACACAUUCCCUGCUUAGGUAGCAGACCGGUGCUGAACACGUUCCCUGUGUAGGUAGCAGACCGGUGCUGAACACGUUCCCUGCGUAGGUAGCAGACCGGUGCUGAACACGUUCCCUGCGUAGGUAGCAGAGGUGCUGAACACUGACAUAGUGAUUGGAGAGACAGACUAUAGAUCCUACACAGUGUUUUACUACCAGAAACAGGGACAGUUCAACUCCUACAAAAAUGUCCAUUAAUUAUAAUCUACAUAAUCAUUCAAAUUUCCUGUUGCGUAAAUUAUGAUCCAUGUGUACAUAUAUGAAAUUAGAAGAUUUAUUUUCCUUAGUUAUGUAUAUUAAAACAAUAAUGUUGAAAUUGAUUUGACUCUCUUUUUUAAAUGUGUUGCCAGUGUGUGGAUAAGGACCAUGUGAUCAGUGAGUAUCCAAUUUAACAACGUUUGUCCAGCCAUUGGUAGUGGAGACCAUAUUAAAUAUUGUGCGUCGUGGAGCGCAAACUACAGCGAUAUGAUAUAGACAAUAGACUUCUUCUAGAGUUUGUUUGGUGAGUAGUGGUGACAUGAGGACGGAUUCUCUGGAUUUUAUUAGAAUGCAGUGCUGCGUUUGUAGAGGGAGGCACGAGAGAGACGCAGAUCCGUGGAAAAGGCACAUACCUACCUGUCAGGCACAGAGGUCAAUGUGUUUUUUUAAAUGGAUAUUAUGUCGAUAUUCGUUAGCUCUUAAACAAACGAUGCCUUGACUAAGGUAAUUAUAUAUUCUGGAUCAGGGGCGGAUGGAGAACAAUCCAUGCUUUAAAAAAAUAUAUUUAAAAAAAAAAUGUUAUUUGCAUUUCAAUCUUCAAUACCUUUUAAACAAAGUGUGCCACAACUAUGAAAAUGAUAUAAGGCCUAAUCUGAAUCAGGAGAGGAUGGAGCACAAUCCACACCUUUUUGUUGUUGAUUAUUUUUGUUGUUGAUUAUUUUUAUUUGUAAACGUUUUACUAGGAUUUGAAGCCCUCCUUCCUUCUGCCCAGUUUCCCUGAUGUUGCUACGGCAAUCAAGCUGUUUCUACCAUCCCUGUAACUGUCGCUUCAUUUUCUGAACUAAAACUCAUAAAGAACUAUCUAAGAGGCAUUAGGCUCUCGGUCUGAUAUUCGCUUUUGAACACCUGAAUAAGCUCCACUCAUUGCACUGGUGCCAUCGUAGCCUUGACCAUAGCAUUUGUUCACGGAUAUCCCCUUAUACGUUUAAUCAAAAGUAUGUCAAGUCCUGAGGCACUUUUUUCAGUCAUGUUCCUGAAACAAACACUUUGUUUCCUACUACAUCUGGAAAUGUAAAAUAUUUAUGAAUGACUUUAGGGAGGAUUACUGUCAAAAUGAUUUACUGAAUUGAUAAAAUCACAUCCAUGACAGGCGCAUGGGCCCCCAGAGCUCGUGGCCUCGCGCCUUGCGGGUGUGUCCAGUACGUCAUGCACGUCAUCAGUAUACAAUUUCAAAACUUCGUCCAGACAUUGGUAGCUAUGAAACCUUAUCAACGGCUGUGCAUCGUGGAGCUUAAAUCAGUCUACUUUAGAAUGGAUUCACAACAUAUAGGCUACAACCAUAUGAAUAUAGACGAUAGACUUCUUAUACAGUAGGCUGAGUAGCGGUGACAUGUAGACGGAUUCUCUGGGUGGUGUUGGGAUGCGCUGCAGAGUUGCAUCUGUAGAGGGAGGAACGACAGAGAUGCAGAUCGGUGGAAAAGGCACCGAGGUAAAAUGUAUUUUAUACUGAGGUAAAAGUAGUUUUAUACGGAAUAUUCCGUGGAUAUUAAUUUUUCUCGCAUAACUAGCUAUUGAACCAAUCAUGCCAUGACUAUGAAAAUUGUAUAUUCUGAAUCUGGGGG